rnacentral:rRNA from 1 species
UAAUACAGAGGUGGCAAGCGUUGUUCGGAAUUACUGGGCGUAAAGGGCGCGUAGGCGGUUCGUUAAGUCCUGUGUGAAAUCCCCCGGCUCAACUGGGGAACUGCACAGGAAACUAGCGGGCUUGAGUUCGGGAGAGGGAAGCGGAAUUCCGGGUGUAGCGGUGAAAUGCGUAGAUAUCCGGAGGAACACCGGUGGCGAAGGCGGCUUCCUGGACCGACACUGACGCUGAGGCGCGAAAGCUAGGGGAGCAAACGGGAUUAGAUACCCCGGUAGUCCUAGCUGUAAACGAUGAGUGCUGGGUGUAGAGGGUAUUAACCCCUUCUGUGCCGAAGCUAACGCAUUAAGCACUCCGCCUGGGGAGUACGGUCGCAAGGCUG